GCUCUUGAAGACCACUCAGAAGCUUCAGUCCAGAUUCCAAUACUUCAGGCAGUGGACAGAUACGGCUUCUUAACUGAUAACCUAAACCAAACUAUUGUUGUCACAGCUUUGGAGCACCUGAGUUCUAUCCACAGAGAAUAACUUCCUCUCCAUUUCACAUACUCCUUCUGCAACCAACAUGUCACUUUCAGAUGCGGCUUCUCCAAGGUGAUCCAGCUGACCUCGAAUUGAAAAGAUUACAGACCACCAUGUAGCACGUCUCUCUGGGAGGAUGACAGAAUUAAAUAGUGGAAAUGUCUAAGUUUCCCCACUGUUAAAAUGUCUUACUAAAAGAGGAAGGGAAGGAAUUAAUAAUAAUAAAAAAAAUGAUGGAAGAUCUUACUUAUAUUCCUUUACGGAAAAUUUGUUGAUUGUGUUUGAUACAUUUGUGUGCUUUCUAGUAAGUAAUUUACGGCUUUUAUAUCAUAUGCAUAAUACUGUAAAAAAUUACACCUUUGCUUGUAAUAAAGUAUUUAUCCUAUAUAUA